AAAAUGCGAUUUUUUCUUAUCACUUAUCAGCUAGACGGUAGAUUUAAAAUUUGAACGAUUUCAGAAAACUGAAUUUUUUUUGAUGUUUUAUUCAAUUUUGAAUCAUGGAGGAAGUUUAUUUGAGAGACUUGAAGUCAUACAGUGUAUCGGAAGUUAUGCGAUUUCGUGAUAAGUUUUUGGAACUGAUAAAUAAACUUGCCCAAGAAGAAGAAAACAUUGAUGAAGAUCCCAACGAUCCGCUCUACUUGGAGAGAAAAAAGUUAUGCCGUUUGUCCACUGAAAAAAAGAUGCGUAAACAAUCCCAGAAAGCAGCAGAUAAAUCGUCUAAUAUGAAAAGAAAAUCCAAAUCUCGCAGUAAAAAUAUGCCACCUUUAUUGCCCGUACAUAUUCCUGAUGAUUUCAGAAAAACACGAAAACGUAAACACGAUUUAGUUCCUCACAAAGAUGUGGCAUUUGUAUUCAAAGUUUAUCCACCUUUCAUGUAUGAAUACAACAUUCGUAACUCUAAACCUAAACAUAAUUUAGAAAUAGUCGUCUUGGGUCAUCAAACAUUGGAUAAGUUGUGUGAUAAAAUUGUUUGUGAUGAAAGUUUCAUGGAAAUUGGUGGUGAUAUUAGCGAUACGCCUGACAUACCUGUACAGCCAAGACUCGGUGAAAAAUAUAAAUCAAGGAUGCUGUACAUUGGAAAUAAUUUCUACAUUGACCGAUCGGAUCCCGGUAAUAUUGACUACAGUGAAUGUAUUCGACGAUGGGGUGUUAGAAAUGGAUUGAAUUUUGGUGCAACACUCAAUAUGAACGAACAUUCGUGCUUAGAUUUAGUCUGUAGAAUAGGAUAUCCUUAUGUUUAUCAACAUUUAGGUGGUUGUGAACAUAUCAUAAAACUUGAAUACGUCAGGUUGAUAGAAGAAAAAGACUGCCUAGAAUCGGAACUGUAUCCGUUUUAUUCUUAUGUAUCGAGAUAUUCUGGUUCCAAAUUAUGCAUGGCUUGUAUGGAGAUAUCAGAAUGGAUUGUUUUCGAUAGCAAUCGUAUGAUAUCUAACCCAUCGUAUUUAUGCAAUAGUUGUUUUCGCAGCUACCAUUACGUCGACGGUAAAAAAGUUUCUACUUUCAAAGCUGUUCGGUAUUGGGAUUGUCCUUUAUUUACAAAAAUGACUGGUAAAACAUUCGAACACUACGCUACCGCUGUCGUGAAACAGGAGAAACUUGAUUGAAAAUGUUCCAACCAGCAUAUUUUUAGUGCUUGGUGACUGUGUUGCAGUUUUUUUUAUACGAUCGAUCAAUUCUAAGUUACUGUUUUCAAGGUGAAUUGAGUAAAAUUCAGGAGCAGAUAAAAAAUGACUUGCUGGGAAAAUGUGCGUGAUUUUCCCUUUUCUACAUAUUUAAGAAAAAUGUGAAAGUAUCGCCGUU